rnacentral:rRNA from 1 species
GAUGCACGCUGGCGGCGUGCCUAAUACAUGCAGGUCGAGCGAACAGACGAGGAGCUUGCUCCUCUGACGUUAGCGGCGGACGGGUGAGUAACACGUGGAUAACCUACCUAUAAGACUGGGAUAACUUCGGGAAACCGGAGCUAAUACCGGAUAAUAUAUUGAACCGCAUGGUUCAAUAGUGAAAGACGGUUUUGCUGUCACUUAUAGAUGGAUCCGCGCCGCAUUAGCUAGUUGGUAAGGUAACGGCUUACCAAGGCAACGAUGCGUAGCCGACCUGAGAGGGUGAUCGGCCACACUGGAACUGAGACACGGUCCAGACUCCUACGGGAGGCAGCAGUAGGGAAUCUUCCGCAAUGGGCGAAAGCCUGACGGAGCAACGCCGCGUGAGUGAUGAAGGUCUUCGGAUCGUAAAACUCUGUUAUUAGGGAAGAACAAAUGUGUAGGUAACUAUGCACGUCUUGACGGUACCUAAUCAGAAAGCCACGGCUAACUACGUG